rnacentral:tRNA from 2 species
CGCGGCGUGGAGCAGGGGUAGCUCGCCAGGCUCAUAACCUGGAGGUCACAGGUUCAAAUCCUGUCGCCGCAA